rnacentral:rRNA from 1 species
AUUGAACGCUGGCGGCAGGCCUAACACAUGCAAGUCGAACGGCAGCGGGGGAUAGCUUGCUAUCCUGCCGGCGAGUGGCGGACGGGUGAGUAAUGCAUGGGGAGCUGCCCAGUCGAGGGGGAUAACAACUGGAAACGGUUGCUAAUACCGCAUACGCCCUUUGGGGGAAAGGUGGGGAACUUCGGUCCUACCGCGAUUGGAUGCGCCCAUGUGGGAUUAGCUAGUUGGUGAGGUAACGGCUCACCAAGGCGACGAUCUCUAGCUGGUCUGAGAGGAUGACCAGCCACACUGGGACUGAGACACGGUCCAGACUCCUACGGGAGGCAGCAGUGGGGAAUAUUGCACAAUGGGGGAAACCCUGAUGCAGCCAUGCCGCGUGUGUGAAGAAGGCCUUCGGGUUGUAAAGCACUUUCAGUCAGGAGGAAGGGGUGAUGGCUAAUAUCCAUCAUCAUUGACGUUACUGACAGAAGAAGCACCGGCUAACUCCGUGCCAGCAGCCGCGGUAA